UAUCUUCCUACAAUAGUAAAAUCACCCCCAAACUGUUCUAAAUUUGGUCUAAGGAUAAAUAAUUUGUAUGGUAUGGAUAAAGCGUCUAUGUUCAACUAAAUCAACCUAUAAAGCAAAUGAAUCAACUUAUUUCAUCACAAUGUCAACUCAAUUUCAGUGCAUAUAUAGUAUAAAAUUUUGCAAGUUCAAGCUUCAAUCAGUCUAGCAUGCUCCCUAUCCACAGUUCAUAAAUUAACACCAAAUCUCAAAUUUAAUCAUCAUUGUCAGCCAAAUUGUCCAACCCACACAAGCACACAAACAAAAAAAAAAGUUAACUAAUUUCUUUUUUUUUUUUUAAACAUAUGAAAAACAACACACGAAAACAUACGAAAACCAAAAACACAAAGUGUUUCCCACCCCCAAACGUAAACCAGACAUUGUCCUCAAUGUCUUAAAACAUAAGUAAAAAAUGUAAGGGGAUGGGGAGGAAAAGGACGAAGGUACUCCCCGAAUUUUUCUGUGGAAGGUACUGUAGGUGACGGCUAGACAAUCUUUUUCAUCAUGCUUUCCCUCUGGUCGAUGUUGGUCUGAGUGUUCCACGACGUCAUGUUCCUGCAUAUGGCAAUCAUCAAAUAGUAGAGAUCAAAUAAUCCAAAACCUAUGUUACUUAGUCCAAACACUCGAAAUAACCAACAUUAUAUUUAAGGGCUUCAAUGAAAACAUGACUAGAUGAUGAUAAUGUAUAAAUGUAAACGUGCCUAAAACUAAUGCAACUAACAAUUAAAAUAAAUCUAUAUGCAAUGCAAUGCAGAAAACAAAAUAACUAAAAGGUUCAGAAAUUGGGUUGCCUCCCAAUAAGCGCUUUAUUUAUAGUCUUUAGCUAGACUUUGUUGUCCUGGCUACUCUACAUUGUCAAGUGGCACGGUUGUUUUCUCAUUGG
rnacentral:lncRNA from 1 species